rnacentral:rRNA from 1 species
AUACGGAGGGUGCAAGCGUUGUUCGGAAUCACUGGGCGUAAAGCGCGUGUAGGCGGCUUGGUAAGUCGAAUGUGAAAUCCCGGGGCCCAACCUCGGAACUGCAUUCGAAACUGCCUCGCUAGAGUCUCGGAGAGGAAGGCAGAAUUCCCGGUGUAGGGGUGAAAUCCGUAGAUAUCCGGAGGAAUACCAGCGGCGAAGGCGGCCUUCUGGACGAUGACUGACGCUGAGACGCGAAAGCGUGGGGAGCAAACAGGAUUAGAAACCCCGGUAGUCC